GGGAAGAGCAAAAGACAAGCACAAGAGAAUAAUGAAGCAGGGAAGAGGGACGGUCCUAAAAUUUUGCCUGAAACACACAUACAGCAGGGAUGUGUGACAGAAGCAAAGCUGAUGUGCUUGUGCAAUAAUUUUGUGAGUACUGGAGGAGCCAGGCAUUUCCCCAUGCCUAUAGAUGUGUCCGCAGAGCAGCCUGUCAGAUUCCAACAAAUCUGCAAAUUCUGCUAAACACCUUGACACAAGGACAUGAAAAAGGAAAAAUGAAGCUGAAGUGUCCAGUGGAAACCAACAAAAAUGAUGAAAGGCCUGGGAACCCUGAUUUAUAAGGAGAAGUCGAAAGAACAAGGAUUAUUUAGUCUGGAAAAGAGAAGACUGAGGAUGAAUUUGAUAAACAGUCUUCAAAUUAGGGGUGCACCAAUAAAAAUUUUUAGGGCCAAUACCGAUAGGCGAUAUUUAAGGAGUCAUAUCAGCCGAUGUUGAUCCAAUUUCAGAUACA